CAGUCGCCACGGUAAUACGUAGGUGGCAAGCGUUGUCCGGAAUUAUUGGGCGUAAAGCGAGCGCAGGCGGUUAGAUAAGUCUGAAGUUAAAGGCUGUGGCUUAACCAUAGUACGCUUUGGAAACUGUUUAACUUGAGUGCAAGAGGGGAGAGUGGAAUUCCAUGUGUAGCGGUGAAAUGCGUAGAUAUAUGGAGGAACACCGGUGGCGAAAGCGGCUCUCUGGCUUGUAACUGACGCUGAGGCUCGAAAGCGUGGGGAGCAAACAGGAUUAGAUACCCCAGUAGUCCCUGUCUCUUAUACA
rnacentral:rRNA from 1 species